rnacentral:rRNA from 1 species
UACGUGAGGUGGCAAGCGUUGUCCGGAUUUAUUGGGUUUAAAGGGUGCGUAGGCGGUCUUAAUAAGUACAGUGGGUGAAAGCCGAUCGCUUAACGAUCGAAGCUGCCAUUGAUACUGCUAGGCUUGAGUAUAGUUGAGGUAGGCGGAAUUGACAGUGUAGCGGUGAAAUGCAUAGAUAUUGUCAAGAACACCAAUUGCGAAGGCAGCUUACUAAAGUAUAACUGACGCUGAGCACGAAAGUGCCGGGGAUCAAACAGG